rnacentral:rRNA from 1 species
CAAUAGCGUAUACUAAAGUUGUUGCAGUUAAAAAGCUCGUAGUUGAAUUUCUGGUCGUGGCGACCGGUCCGCCCCUCACGGGUGGUGCACCUGGUCUCUGCGUCCAUCCUCGGGGAGGAGCGUAUCUGGCAUUCAGUUGUCGGGUGCGGGAUCCUCGUCAUUUACUGUGAGCAAAAUAAGAGUGUUCAAAGACAGGCUUAGGCCGUUGAAUACAUUAGCAUGGAAUAAUAAGAUAGGACCUUGGUCUAUUUUGUUGGUUUGCAUUCCAAGGUAAUGAUUAAUAGGGAUAGUUGGGGGUAGUUCUAUUCAAUUGUCAGAGGUGAAAUUCUUGGAUUUAUGGAAGACGAACUACUGCGAAAGCAUUUACCAAGGAUGUUUUCAUUAAUCAAGAACGAAAGUUAGGGGAUCGAAGAUGAUUAGAUACCAU